rnacentral:snoRNA from 1 species
CGGGAUGAUGACCCACAGUGGUUUCGCUCAUUGGCCUGAGCCCCAGUGAUGUCACUUCCUCUUGGCUGUCUGACCUG